rnacentral:rRNA from 1 species
AUGAACGCUAGCUACAGGCUUAACACAUGCAAGUCGAGGGGCAGCAUGGUCUUAGCUUGCUAAGGCUGAUGGCGACCGGCGCACGGGUGAGUAACACGUAUCCAACCUGCCGUCUACUCUUGGCCAGCCUUCUGAAAGGAAGAUUAAUCCAGGAUGGCAUCAUGAGUUCACAUGUCCGCAUGAUUAAAGGUAUUUUCCGGUAGACGAUGGGGAUGCGUUCCAUUAGAUAGUAGGCGGGGUAACGGCCCACCUAGUCAACGAUGGAUAGGGGUUCUGAGAGGAAGGUCCCCCACAUUGGAACUGAGACACGGUCCAAACUCCUACGGGAGGCAGCAGUGAGGAAUAUUGGUCAAUGGGCGAUGGCCUGAACCAGCCAAGUAGCGUGAAGGAUGACUGCCCUAUGGGUUGUAAACUUCUUUUAUAAAGGAAUAAAGUCGGGUAUGCAUACCCGUUUGCAUGUACUUUAUGAAUAAGGAUCGGCUAACUCCGUGCCAGCAGCCGCGGUAAUACGGAGGAUCCGAGCGUUAUCCGGAUUUAUUGGGUUUAAAGGGAGCGUAGAUGGAUGUUUAAGUCAGUUGUGAAAGUUUGCGGCUCAACCGUAAAAUUGCAGUUGAUACUGGAUGUCUUGAGUGCAGUUGAGGCAGGCGGAAUUCGUGGUGUAGCGGUGAAAUGCUUAGAUAUCACGAAGAACUCCGAUUGCGAAGGCAGCCUGCUAAGCUGCAACUGACAUUGAGGCUCGAAAGUGUGGGUAUCAAACAGGAUUAGAUACCCUGGUAGUCCACACGGUAAACGAUGAAUACUCGCUGUUUGCGAUAUACAGCAAGCGGCCAAGCGAAAGCAUUAAGUAUUCCACCUGGGGAGUACGCCGGCAACGGUGAAACUCAAAGGAAUUGACGGGGGCCCGCACAAGCAGUGGAGUAUGUGGUUUAAUUCGAAGCAACGCGAAGAACCUUACCAGGUCUUGACAUCUUUUGAUCACCUGAGAGAUCAGGUUUCCCCUUCGGGGGCAAAAUGACAGGUGGUGCAUGGUUGUCGUCAGCUCGUGUCGUGAGAUGUUGGGUUAAGUCCCGCAACGAGCGCAACCCUUAUCCUCAGUAGCCAGCAGUAAGAUGGGCACUCUGGGGAGACUGCCAGGGAUAACCUGGAGGAAGGUGGGGAUGACGUCAAAUCAGCACGGCCCUUACGUCCGGGGCUACACACGUGUUACAAUGGGGGGUACAGAGGGCCGCUACCACGCGAGUGGAUGCCAAUCCCUAAAACCCCUCUCAGUUCGGACUGGAGUCUGCAACCCGACUCCACGAAGCUGGAUUCGCUAGUAAUCGCGCAUCAGCCACGGCGCGGUGAAUACGUUCCCGGGCCUUGUACACACCGCCCGUCAAGCCAUGGGAGCCGGGGGUACCUGAAGUGCGUAACCGCGAGGAUCGCCCUAGGGUAAAACUGGUGACUGGGGCU